GCUUCAAUCUCAACACUUCAUCCUCGCUGGAUCCAUUUCUCCACUGCAGCACUACAUCUUAUAAACUACCGGCUCAUCUCCACAAUAUUCAUUUCAUUACACUAGCUCCCCUCCAUCACAACACCCCACUACCACUUUCUCCUCGGCCACGAACCGAGAGCGAAAAGAGCCUUCCGUUUCUGUCUCUGUCCGUAAGCUUGAGGGAAAGAGAGAGAGACUUGUUGUUUUAUUCGUCUCACCUGCGAGCUGGUGAAGGGGACCGAGAACCAUCACUUUCUUCAUCAACUCCACCGCCUGCAACAGCCAAGCAAAUCAACCAAAUCCCAAGCCCAUCAGUAAGCCGAGAGAAUCUUCAACCAAGAGAGGAAAAAUAUUUCUGGUUCCUCUUUGUUUUAGCUUGCAACCUCAUACCUAACAAACCUUAUUUAACCAAAUCAAAACAGAGAGGGGAACUUGGCUGAUUCAUUUUGAUAGCAGAAACCGUGAGCCAAAAGUGAGAGAGUGAGAGAGAUAGCUUGGCUAGCUUCUUCAUUAGCUAACACUUCUCUGUUCCGUGUGUAAGCUGAGCAAGAGAGGGAGGAACGGUGAGCUGCGCUCUGCACUGACGAGACGAGAGAAAACUUGCAGCCGCUGGUCGCGCAACUUGAGCCUUAAGCCGAGGCGCACACGAGAACCUUCAAGAGGAUCCGACAGAGGACGCUUGAACUUCAAAUUGAACCUAUUGCUCUUGUUGCUAGGUCCUGGCAAAUGGGCCGAUCUGAAACCUAGUUGUAUUUUCUUAUGAAUGUAAUUGAAUCUUAUGACUUCGCUUUGCGGCUUGUAAUGUAUAAUUAUAUUUACAUAGAUCGGAUUGGGAAUAUGUUAAAUUUAGGCGAAUUUUUGUCUUGGAUUGCCACUUGAAGCUGGAAAAGUGUAAAACCUAGACUUGUUAUGUAGCUUAUAUGAAUUUGUUAUUUGGGAUUGUCGGAAUUUAUUCAGUGAUUUGUAAUGCGUAAGGUUUAAGAAUCGAUGAUUAGCUAUCCUAUAAUACUGUUAUCUCUGAAGUUAA